UACGUAGGUGGCAAGCGUUGUCCGGAUUUACUGGGCGUAAAGGAUGCGUAGGCGGACAUUUAAGUCAGAUGUGAAAUACCCGAGCUUAACUUGGGUGCUGCAUUUGAAACUGGGUGUCUAGAGUGCAGGAGAGGUAAGUGGAAUUCCUAGUGUAGCGGUGAAAUGCGUAGAGAUUAGGAAGAACACCAGUGGCGAAGGCGGCUCACUGGCUCGUAACUGACGCUCAUGCACGACAGCGUGGGGAUCAAACAGG
rnacentral:rRNA from 1 species